AGAGUUUGAUCAUGGCUCAGAACGAACGCUGGCGGCAUGCCUAAUACAUGCAAGUCGAACGCACCGCAAGGUGAGUGGCGCACGGGUGAGUAACGCGUGGGAAUCUGCCCAGCAGUGGGGAAUAACCAAGGGAAACUUUGGCUAAUACCGCAUACGCUAACGGGGAAAGAUUUAUUGCUGUUGGAUGAGCCCGCGUCGGA
rnacentral:rRNA from 1 species